GAGGGUUGAUAGGUUAAGAGCUGAUCAAUUGGACGUUACCCACAGAAGAAGCACCGGCUAACUCCGUGCCAGCAGCCGCGGUAAUACGGAGGGUGCGAGCGUUAAUCGGAAUUACUGGGCGUAAAGGGUGCGUAGGUUGUUGAGUAAGUUAUCUGUGAAAUUCCUGGGCUUAACCUGGGACGGUCAGAUAAUACUGCUUGACUCGAGUAUGGGAGAGGGUAGUGGAAUUUCCGGUGUAGCGGUGAAAUGCGUAGAGAUCGGAAGGAACACCAGUGGCGAAGGCGGCUACCUGGCCUAAUACUGACACUGAGGCACGAAAGCGUGGGGAGCAAACAGGAUUAGAUACCCUGGUAGUCCACGCUGUAAACGAUGUCAACUAGCUGUUGGCCUUAUGAAUGAGGUUAGUGGCGCAGCAAACGCGAUAAGUUGACCA
rnacentral:rRNA from 1 species